GCCGGCGCGUGUCCCUAUCGUUGGAAAUGGGGUCUCUGACCUCUGCGCUGUGCCCCUCCACCUCCCCAAUGCCCAGAGACCCAAAGGGCGAAGGUUGAGGGUGGGGUGGCAGCCCAGCCACUGUCCUGCCUGUAAACCAGUCUCUGCCCCUCAUCUACAGGUAAACGCUUUCAUGUUGGUCAUUGAGCUCCUCCGUCGUUCCUCUCCACUCCCACUUUAAAGUGCUUCUCGCUUUUCAAACUCAUUAGGUUAUUUAUUACACGUUAGACGCUGGAGGGUCCUGGACUCUUAAAAAACUAGCCACCAAAGAAUGAAAAACCACUCCCUAUAUUUGAUGAAUAUCAGAUGAAGAUUAUUUUGCCAAAGAUUAACACAGAUUUUCUUCAGAUAACUGGUUCUUAAUCUUUUUUGGCAGUGGGGAGGACGAUGCAUGGGAUUCCUUUGAGGAUCCGAUGAGAACCAUGACUCCCCAGAAGAACGCACAAUUUCACAAACAAGUGUCAUGAGGUUCACAGACCUGGGACUUUUUUUUUUUUUAAGUAAAUGUUUUGAUGGGUAGGAUGGUAAAAAAGAGGGAGAUGUGAAGAGGAGGAGAGACCAAAGCAAAAGGGAAAUACUGCCAAUAUAAAGUGGCAGAAUUCCUUUCAAAUACGUGAUGUCUGCGUAAGUACAAUGACGAGGGGAUGUUUUAAUUUACAGAAAUUGGCCUGCAAAAAAUUUUGGAGACAUCUUGUAUUUUUUUCUAAUCCUGGUAAAAUGGAAGACAUCAGCAGAAGUUGGAGCAUAUCUAAGUUGUAAAAUGGACAUAAGGACAUCACCAAUAAGCUGGACUCCAGAAAUCUCUGUCUAGGAUUUUAUUAGACUGCUUUUCUCCCCCCAAUAUACCUGUUUCGGAAGAUUGAGACAAAAAGGCACAAACUCACAUUAAAUAAACAAGGUAAUCUAAUCA
rnacentral:lncRNA from 1 species